ACCUGGGAUAGCUUAGUGAGUAUAGCAUGAGACUCUUAAUCUCAGGGUUGUGGUUUCGAGUGCCAACUUAGGCA